UACGGAGGGAGCUAGCGUUGUUCGGAAUUACUGGGCGUAAAGCGCGCGUAGGCGGCUUUGUAAGUUAGAGGUGAAAGCCCGGGGCUCAACCCCGGAAUUGCCUUUAAGACUGCAUCGCUUGAAUCCGGGAGAGGUGAGUGGAAUUCCGAGUGUAGAGGUGAAAUUCGUAGAUAUUCGGAAGAACACCAGUGGCGAAGGCGGCU
rnacentral:rRNA from 1 species